GACGAACGCUGGCGGCGUGCCUAAUACAUGCAAGUCGAACGCAGGGGGGACGGGUGAGUAACACGUGGGUAACCUCCCAUCAGAGGGGAUAACACUUGGUAAUAGGUGCUAAACCGAUACUGAUGGAUGGACCCGCGGUGCAUUAGCUAGUUGGUGAGGUAACGGCUCACCAAGGCCACGAUGCAUAGCCGACGUGAGAGGGUGAGCGGCAACACUGGGACUGAGACACGGACCAGACUCGUACGGGAGGCAGCAGUAGGGAAUCUUCGGAAAGGGACGAAAGUCUGAACGAGCAAAGCGGCGUGAGUGAAGAAGGUUUUCGGAUCGUAAAACACUGUUGUUAGAGAAGCGGUAUCUAACCAGAAAGCAACGGCUAACUACGUGCCAGCAGCCGCGGUAAUUC
rnacentral:rRNA from 1 species